UACUUAGGGGUUCAGGGGCGCUGCUUUGGGCAAUUUACCUCCACUGCUGAGUUUUCUUGGCAUCUCCUGGUAUGCUGCGUCUCUGCAUGUGCCACGCCCUAGUCCAGACCCUGACCCACACAGUGCUGGGAUUUAAGGGAGGCCUGCUUUUUUCUCUCCAUUUACAGAUGGGAAAGCUGACAUAAACUGGUAGGUGGUGGAGGUGGGAUUUGAACCCAGGUGACCUAACUCCAAACUUCUGCAUCUUGUCACGAGGAUCCAAAUCUUAGUCCUUAAGGGCUCUGUGCAGAUCCUCACCAGCCUCCCCAGCUUCAGAUCCGGCCUCCUGAGCUCCAGUCUCUGAUUCCUGCACCCAGGCUCAGGUGCAGCCCAGAGCUCAUCUGACUCUGAUGAGCUGCUCUGCCCUACACCGGGAUUGCAGCACACAUCACAUGGCGCUGUCAUUGUCAGAUCCAUUUCUGUGUCCCCGCACCCAGCCUGACACAUGGAGCCUGGGAUAGGAUAGAUGCUCAAACCAUUGGUAAUUUAAAUGGUUUAGGUGCCAGUGGCUUCUGAAUAAAACAGCAUUCUUGAAGUGAACAGCUGAUGAGGACGUGAAAUAUUAUGCCAAAGCUGGCAUCGCACUGUUCUUUUUCCUGGAUGAAAAUCUCUCUGAGAAUCAUUUGCUCUUAACUUUGGUAUCCUGGGGACUGCUGCCUUAUCCCAGGAAGCCACCCAGAGUCUUGGAUGUGUGGGAUCCUUGGGACUUCAUGGUAAAUCUGCUCUAGUCCCACAGGUUAGGAAAAUGAAGCCCAGGACAUCUGGGAGCCCCCAGCACUUCCAUAGAAAUGGACCAAAAUGCCUUCUCCAGUGGGAGAAACCUGGAAUAAGCUCAAGAGGACAGACGGCUGAAUUUUCAAAAAUCGUGUGAGCUGCUGUUAAACAAGCCAUUAUUAAAACUUUAAUUGUAUAAACUUACAAUUAGGUGAGUUACAUUAAAAGUGAUAAAAUAC